GCUAACUGUGACCGUGCUGAAAUAUGUUUGCAGUACCUGCACCAAUGCCAACAGGAAGUUCAGUGUGUUGUCAUAGAAAUCAGAGCCCUGAUUUCCACAACAGUGUCAAAGGAAACGUACUUAGGCAGGAGAUUUUACUGAUGCAUUUCUAAAGAGCACAUUACUGCUUUUGGACAACAUCUGCUUAUACUGAGAUACUUUGCUAAGUUUUUUGAAGACUCUGGAUUGUAUUAUGGGGUGCAACACCAGUAAAGGUACUCAAGUCACGGAUCCAUCCAAAAAACCUAAAGACAGACCCAAUUCUGCCAACUCAUCGAACAAAGACGAAAAGGACAAUGUUAAUGAAAUCUCACACGCAGAGAAUAAUGAAGCGGAGACAGAAGACAGCAGAUAAAUGUUCAUUUUCUGGUUACCUUCCUCAAGUUUCUAUGUUGCCGUAUUCGGUCCAGCUGUGAUCGGCUGAAGUUUCCAGGAGAGUGCAAGGAGAUCUGCACCAGUCUGUUUCUUUACAUGAUGGUUAUAUAUAGGCCUAUAUAUAGCUAUGUUCUCAUCUCAUCACUUCAGUACCUUCUUUCUGUAUGUUUUUUUGGUUCCCUGUGUGACCAGACUGUUGAGGAAAGUGCCAAAGGUUAAAAAAAUCAUUGUUAUUGUGAUAUUAGCAGAGAUUUUCUUAUAUUAUUAGCCGAUUCUAUUCUUUAAGAAUGUAAAUAAAUAUUCUUAAGAAAUGAAAAAUGCACUAUUUAUUUAUUUUACACACACAGGCACGCACGCACGGACACACACACACACACACACACACACACACACACACACACACAAAACACGCUUUAAUUUUUACCAUUAUGAUAAUUCAGUAAAGUGUGUAAAGUCAAAAAUCACGAGCGCUGGAAUUAACCUGUAAUAUCUUUCAAGACCAGCAGAUGCCUCUCUCUGUCAAUUUACAUGCUUUUUUCGAUUGCUUACACACAAAAUAUUUACUUGUCACACAAUUUCUGAAACACACCAAAUCUGCAGAACCAUACACAAAUUUUUGGCCUUUGACUCAGUUUUCAAUUUGCAACACUUUUUGCAAAGCACAUCACACAAUUCUUUAUGUAACACACAAAAAUCUAACAGGAAUUAAUAUUAUGGCAAAGGUGUUUGCAAAUGUUUGCUUUUGACAUGUGUUUGUGAUAUUUUGAAUGCAGUGCUCAUUUUGCAAGAGACGUUUUGCAUUUUGUGUGUGCAAUUAUUGGAUUUGUGUGUAAAGGUUUGAAAAAAAAAAAAAAAAAGAGGCAAAGUUUUGAAAAUGUGUGUAAGCAGUUGAAAAAAACUGAACCUUUGUGAGACCAUGUACAAUGAGAAAUUGUAAAGUUAUUAACUAAAUAAAUAAGCAAACAACUAGAUUAAUUAAUUAAUAAAACCAUUUUCUUUUCUUUCUUUUUUUUCUUUUUUUGUUGUAUUUUGUUAGACUAACUGGGACAUGUCACAGCACUUACAUAUUGAUGCCCUUUUGUUGGUUUUAUUGCUUCUAUUGUCCUCAUUUGUCACUUUCGAUUAAAACUGCUAAAUGAUUAAAUAUAAAUAUAAAAUAACAAGUGCAAAUAAAUAAGUAAUAUUAACAAAACCAACAAAUAAGACAAAAAAUAAAUAAUGAUAUAUCAGUAGUUCAAAAUAAAAUAAAAAAUUUCAAUGAACAUAAUGCAAAGUAAAGAAAGAAAGUCAACAAAUUACAUAGUAGCUAUAUUAAGUAAUAAAGGACAAUAAUGUGUUAUAACGAGCCUUAAAAAAAUAGCACAUGCUAAUUUACAAAGUUGUUUAAAAGUCGUAUGUCAGAGUGAGGACUUUCCAUUGACAUUUAUUAUUUUUUAUACUAAGCUAAUUAUAUUUUCGACCCCCUGGCUGCAACUAAACCAAACAGAAAUGUAUUUAUUUAUUUUUUUUUUCUCGAUUGUUAUUAAAAACUGUAUUUAAGAUGUUUUCCUCGUGGGGACUGUUCUGCUUCUCAUAAUGCAGGCUAAGUGAUUUUAGGUUUUACUGCAGUAUUACAGUCUGAUCCCAUAAUGCAGGCACAACCAGACUGCAAAAUUGGCACAAACGGCUAGGCAACACUAGGGGGCAAAAGUGCUCUAUAUUGGAAUGAGCGUUUUCUCCAGCUUCCACCCCUUGCUGAGAGCAUUCAGUGUGAAAUGUAUAUUUUAGGAUUAUUAGCACAGAGUGGGUUGAGCUCACAGAAAAGCUAUUCUAUAAAGCCCAGUUUCACAGUCUCAUCAGAGAGACAGCAGGAAAUUGCUGCAAAAUAUUAUUAUUACUGUGAAUGAAUAAAAUGUUUGAGAAGAUAAAUGAAAAGCAUUUUUAAAGAAAAUAUAGCACCUAAUAGCUUUUUAAUUUCACAUGACGCAUGAAAAGAAGGACUUAAGAGUAUUUCUCCUGCCGUUUCCUCUUAGUAUUGAUGAGAGCAAACACACCUGCAGUGAGCCGGUGUCUUAUCUUCUCUUUAUCAUUUAAUUAAUAUGAAUGCUUCAAAUACCCAUUAUCUCUGUGGUUACAUUAAACCAAAUGAUCCAUUGAUGUUAACGAAAUGUUAUGCUAAUACACGCGCUCCUCUGUGGGAGCGUAGUCUAGUGCAGCCAUUGAUUGACAUCAAUUUAAUUUAAUUGUUGUCACAGACAAUUGGCUGGAGAAAUAUCGCUUCACUGGGUAAUUCUGUAUGCAGUGUGACCAACAUCUGGAUCUGAGAUGAUUCAAUUUACACCUCUGAAAAAUGAAAUCCAUUUUCCUAAAAUAUCACAUUUUUCAUAUCAGUUUAAUAAUGCAAGAUGGUCUUGGAGGAAUGAGGAUACUGGGAUGUUUUGGGAGGUUAGAGAAAUACUAUUCUCUCUGACAGGGUUCCUCUUCUUUAUUUCAAAUAUUUUGCAUACACUCAGUAGCCACUUGAUUAGACUUGUACUUCGGCUUGUUGAUGCAAAUGUCUAACCAUAUUAAAUGUGGCAGCAUGCAUAACAGCAUGCAGAUGAUGCAUGCAGAUGGGCAGGAGAUUCACUUGUUGUUCAAACCAAACAUGAGAAUGAGGAAGAGUAUCUGCAGAUGGGAUUUUCACACGCAACAGUCAUACAUAAUGAAAUAGAUUCCAAAACCAAAAGCAAAAUUAUCACCAUUCUUGAAGCAGAAAGCCUUUGCUAAUGAGAAAGGCAUGAGAAAAAUGACCAUGACCACCAAAACUGGACAGUAAAAGAUUAGAAAAUGUCGUCUGGUUUGAUAAAUCUCAGUUUUGGAUUUCAUGAUUAUGUAUUUUUGUAGGCCAACCUGGAAGUCUGCAUCCUCCUGGUUCCCUCAACACAAACCCAAUAAGAUAUUUCCAUUGGCUUUUGGAUUAUUACAAAAAAUAAGCUCUGUGACCAACAAGCGUUUUGAUUCUUACAUGUUUUGUUCAUUAUGAUAAUCUUCACAAACAAACACAACUUUUAUGCAUUUUGAAGCCAAAAACACAAUAACCAGAAUUAAACAGCUAAACAUAGGCUUUAAACAAACUGCAUCACAGUCACAUGACUUCAACAUCACAAACAUUAAGCUUCCAACAAGUCUUUCAGUAUUUACUUAAAAAGUGUUUUCCCUGAAAGUUUGAGUUAGAAUAGUUUGCAAGAGAGUGAUUAUAAACACAAAGAGUCUGUAGAAACAGACUUGUGAGUAGAUCCUUUGUACUGUUCCGUUAAGCCACUUGUUAACAACUGCUUUUUUCAAGCCAAGUAAAGGCUUUAAAAAAAUAUUGCUAAUGUAUUUUAGUUUGUAGAACAAAGCAUGAACAUAUUUUAAGCUUGUUUUUACCACAGAUCUUAUUUCAGGCAUUUAAAAUGCUAAGUGCUAAAAUGCUAGCCCAUGCUAAAAUGCUGACUCAUUUCUGAGUUUUGGCCUACAAAAAUACCUCAUUGCUGGUUCAUAUCAGUGGUGGUGUUAUGCUAUUUUCUAUAUUUUGUUAUUAAAACUUUGUUUAAAUGCCACAGCCUAUAUGCCAGUACUGCUUCCCAUGUGCAUCCAUUUCACACACAGUCAUUCUCAAAUGGCCACUCUCACAACUCACAACCCUAUCACAAUGCACGCGUCAUUCCAGGCUCGUCACACAACACCACAAUGAGUUCAGUGUACUCAAAUGGCCUCCACAGUCACCAGAUUUCAAUCCAACAGAGAGAUGCAGUUGAAUGACAGAAUGUCUUCAUUUCCAGCACCAUGUUGAAUCUGUAACAUUAAGAACUGAAGAUGUAAUGUGUAAUGAUAAUUAGUGUAUACACAUACAUUUACUUAGCUCAUUAAGACUGUAAAGUUAAAUUAAACUACACAUUAAUAAUAAUUAUAAUUCCGCACAUACAGUAUGUUAUAGUAGAGCUAGUUGUGUAUGAUUGAUCUGUGUCUUGCUUCAAGGUGAGUGAGACAAAGCAGCUGGUUCCCUGUAUGUGCAUCAUGUGUGUGUUGACUGUACAUGUGUGAUCUGCUCUGUCUCAAGGUGAAUGAGAGUGAAAGCAGCUCUCUGGCAGCUGCAGUGUAAUUAUGUGAAAGCUGCUGGUGUGUGUAUAUAAAAUGCCUGCCUGGCAGGUGUAGCCAUUCAUCUCCCAGAUGAGUUUUUUUUUUUUUUUUCUUAUUCUUUUUUCGGAGCUGAGGCAGAGAGAAGUCUUUUCAGCGAAAAUGGAGAAAAAUGGGAAAACAUAUUCUAAAUGUCAUUCAUUCAGCCACGAUGUCACUCUGACCUUAAAAUAUCAUCUAUCCCUUGUUGUAAAUGUGGACAAGAGAAUCCUGUAAAAUACCACAUUUUGAUAAGAGAUGAAGCCCACAUAAAGGGUGUGUGUAUAUGUGUGUGUGCUGGGCCAUCAGUGAUGGGGUGAAAAGGUGGCACUGAUUCUGGAGGCUCACAGCUUCAGAGGGCCACAUCAAUUCCUGCAUUACUGAUGUAGUGACAAUGCAUUCUGCGUCACAGUAGAAAUGAAUGAAUUCACAAAUCAUGCACUGUGUGAUACAGUUGUUAUAGUUAAUUAAAACUAAAACCAUAAAAAAACUAAAUAAACGUUAACUGAUAAAAUAUUUAAAAACUUAUUUUAUUUCAGCUAUAGAUGCCAAGGCAACAUUUCUCAUUUUCAUUUUGUUUAACUUGAUGUACUAAAAUAGCUAGAACUUAAAUAAAAUGAAUAAAAACUAUAUAGACAUGUUUUUAAAAAAGAUAAAAUAAAACUAAAAUAAAUCAAAAACUGACUGAAUGACAUGAAGAAACAGAACAAACUGAGACAGACAACAUCCAGAAGAACUGUGGCAAUGUCUCCAAGAUGCUUCGAGAAACCAACCUGCAAAGCUACCUGAAAAACUAUGCUCUAGGGCAAAAGCUGCUUUAAACGCAAAGAUGGUCACACCAAAUGUUGAUUUAAUGUAAGUUAAUUGAUAAAGAAAAUCUAUUUAUGACAUUAUUUUUGACAGCAUCCUCAUUUUACAGCACUUUUACACAAGUGCCUAAAACUUUUAACAGUACUUUGCAGGUAGGUUUCUUGAAGAAUCUUGCACCUUGCUCUAGCUGUUGUCAGACUCCUUGUGCAAACAAAAAUCUCACUGGAUUAUUACCAUUAAUAAAACAAACAAACAAACAUAACAAUAAGAACAAGACCAAAGACAUUGGUGGGACAAUAUAGAGCACAGCAAAAUCUCCAGUGUUGAAAUCCUAGUGUUAAGGACUUUUAGAGUAACGUGUUAAAGUUGUGGUGUUGAACUUUAGGGGAUUAACACUAGCUAGUGUAAACAGCACCCUCUGGCCGGUGUCAAUACUCAGAGAAACUCUUAUAACACUCUGUUGAGUGUUAUUAGUCACAUCCGGGACAUUUGCUAGUGUGCGCGCUUGACCCAUCUGGAAUAUUUUUCACAGACGCCAUUUUCUUAGACUCGCGAUGCGGAGCAUACGAGGACGGAAAACAGCGAAAUUAAGUGUUUAAUCUUAAUCACAAUAUAUGUUUUGUAAUAUCAUAAAGUUUUAUAGCGAUAUUUAUGAGGUGUGUGCGCCUAAACCUUUUUUUAAAGACAUUUCUUCCACUCGCGAGGCGGACCAGACGAGGACGUUUCUUUUUAAAAGGGACACGCCGAAAGUUAAGUGUUUUAUCUCAUUUGUAUGUAUUUCACAACAUCAUAUUGAUUUAUAGUGAUAUUUGUGUAAUGUGCACUCCUAAACUUUUCCUCAGGAAAUUGGUUUUAUCAAGGAAAACACCGAAAAUGCAUUUGAAUGGCUAUGCACUGACGCGGAAGCCACUUUUAACAGGGGAAACAUAAGAAAGAGACAUUUUCUUUCACUGGAGAUGCGGAGCAGAGAGGGAAGUUGGUCUUCUCAAGGAAAACACUGAAUGGUUCAUGCUGGCUUAACAGAAAAAUCGAAAGGAGAUGAUGUGCUUGAAGAGUAUGAAGCCACCAGUACAUUAAGUGGGAUGAGAAGAGCUUUGUUAGGACACAUACCAGAAAGACAGAAGGUCCUACAGGAGCACUUUUGUGAUGCUGCAAGUGGGAGUUGGGUAUCUUGCUUGGCUGAAAACUGCAGAGAAACACAUCUCGUCUUGCUGAAAACUACUCUUUACAAGGUGGUCCAAACACCAUUAGCAGAGACUUUGUUCAGUUAGCAUUAACAUGCAUUCUGCCUGGAUGCUAAUGAAUGGGAUGCUGUUGUUUAAGCUGAUAAAUGUAAGCAUUAUAAACCUCGUGACAUUAAGUGUACAUAUGGACCAAAUAAGAAUAUGUAUUUUGUGCCUUUGCACUGAUUUGCUUUGACAUUAUGAUGUUUUAAUUGUUGUAAGAACAUGUUCUUUACAUGCAUUGAAAACAUUGAAUGUGAAAACAUUUUUCUCAGGGAAAAAGAUUUACAAUGUUUCAAUUAAAAAUUAAUAAUUGUAAAAGUGUAUUGUUUUGUGGGUUUAUUUUUUUAUAUUUUUACCUGAACAUUGGUGCAGUGUUCACCAGUUGAGGGAGUUAAAUUCACUCUUUAAAAUUUGCAGUGUAGGUAUAUGUUUUAAUCUGCAUUACCAUUUUAAAAUAAGUAUUUACAAUAUUUAC